rnacentral:rRNA from 1 species
CAACAGGGAUUGCCUCAGUAACGGCGAGUGAAGCGGCAACAGCUCAAAUUUGAAAUCUGGCCCCCUCGGGGUCCGAGUUGUAAUUUGUAGAAGAUGCUUCGGGUGCGGCCCCGGUCUAAGUUCCUUGGAACAGGACGUCACAGAGGGUGAGAAUCCCGUACGUGCCCGGUGGUCGCCCCCGUGUGAAGCUCUUUCGACGAGUCGAGUUGUUUGGGAAUGCAGCUCAAAAUGGGUGGUAAAUUUCAUCUAAAGCUAAAUAUUGGCCAGAGACCGAUAGCGCACAAGUAGAGUGAUCGAAAGAUGAAAAGCACUUUGGAAAGAGAGUUAAACAGUACGUGAAAUUGUUGAAAGGGAAGCGCUUGCAACCAGACUUGCGCGCGGCCGAUCAUCCGGUGUUCGCACCGGUGCACUCGGCCGCGCGCAGGCCAGCAUCGGUUCGGGUGGCUGGACAAAGGCCUCGGGAAUGUGGCUCCUCUCGGGGAGUGUUAUAGCCCGAGGCGCAAUGCAGCCUGCCCGGACCGAGGACCGCGCUCCGGCUAGGAUGCUGGCGUAAUGGUUGUAAGCGACCCGUCUUGAAACACGGACCAAGGAGUCUAACAUCUAUGCGAGUGUUUGGGUGUCAAACCCAUACGCGUAAUGAAAGUGAACGGAGGUGAGAACCCUUAAGGGUGCAUCAUCGACCGAUCCUGAUGUCUUCGGAUGGAUUUGAGUAAGAGCAUAGCUGUUGGGACCCGAAAGAUGGUGAACUAUGCCUGAAUAGGGUGAAGCCAGAGGAAACUCUGGGUGGAGCUCGCAGCGGGUUCUGACGUGC